rnacentral:lncRNA from 1 species
GCCAUUUUGGCACUCCCGGUGGUGAAAGGUACACACGCAGCUUCGACAGUGGCCAAAACAUGCUAGGAGUUCAUUUAUAGUCAUACCUUUCCGUCGUUAGAUCAUUCUAAAACGAAGUUUUUUUCUUUUAUUUUCUUUUUCUUUCUGCACACAGCGCAGAUGACACCGAGAUAAUCAUCGCAUCUCAUUUAUUCUCACUUGUUCAAGAAUUACUGUCCUGAAGUUCUAUCGGUGCCCUAUCACUACGACUGACCUUAUUACACGCAACACCCGUCCACAGUCUCUCAGGCGAGAUGUAUUGCUAAUCGCGUAAUACACCACACACACACACACACAUAAAGUGGUCUGUUUCCCUACACAA